AUUGAACGCUGGCGGCAGGCUUAACACAUGCAAGUCGAGCGGAGUGAUGGUGCUUGCACUAUCACUUAGCGGCGGACGGGUGAGUAAUGCUUAGGAAUCUGCCUAUUAGUGGGGGACAACAUCUCGAAAGGGAUGCUAAUACCGCAUACGUCCUACGGGAGAAAGCAGGGGAUCACUUGUGACCUUGCGCUAAUAGAUGAGCCAAAGUCGGAUUAGCUAGUUGGUGGGGUAAAGGCCUACCAAGGCGACGAUCUGUAGCGGGUCUGAGAGGAUGAUCCGCCACACUGGGACUGAGACACGGCCCAGACUCCUACGGGAGGCAGCAGUGGGGAAUAUUGGACAAUGGGGGGAACCCUGAUCCAGCCAUGCCGCGUGUGUGAAGAAGGCCUUAUGGUUGUAAAGCACUUUAAGCGAGGAGGAGGCUCUUUUGGUUAAUACCCAAGAUGAGUGGACGUUACUCGCAGAAUAAGCACCGGCUAACUCUGUGCCAGCAGCCGCAGUAAUAC
rnacentral:rRNA from 1 species